UACAGAGGUCCCAAGCGUUGUUCGGAUUCACUGGGCGUAAAGGGUGCGUAGGCGGUCGGGUAAGUCUGAUGUGAAAUCUCACAGCUUAACUGUGAAACUGCAUUGGAUACUAUCCGGCUCGAGGAAUGGAGGGGAGACUGGAAUACUUGGUGUAGCAGUGAAAUGCGUAGAUAUCAAGUGGAACACCAGUGGCGAAGGCGAGUCUCUGGACAUUUCCUGACGCUGAGACGCGAAAGCGUGGGGAGCGAACAGG
rnacentral:rRNA from 1 species